rnacentral:ncRNA from 1 species
UCUUAUCCAGAGAAGGCUGAGGGACAGGCCCUAUGACGCCCGGCAACCUAGCAAAGAGAGAGCUGCGCUCCCCCGCGCCAAGGUGCUAACUCCUACAGGUAUGAAAAUACCUGACAGAUGAGA